CGAGAAACCGACAAACGAGACAGAGAAGAGAUCCCCAGAGUGCUGCGCUUCCUAGCAACACGUCAUGAUGUGCACUGCUCCGAGAAGUCAAAUGGAAAACAGGGAAAAUACUAUUCACAAUGAAAGCAGUUAAUUCCCUUGAGAUGAGGAGGGUGGCGAUUCAAGCAGUCAUACCUCAGGCUGACUGUCCCUCUGGGUGGCGAGGACAAGACCGUGUGAGUGUGCUGUCUCUGCUCCCCUGUGCCCACCGGAUGAUUAUGUGUCGGUGACACCUGGCAAGGACAUGGAAAACAAAGUUGAUGCUGGGACAGUUUCUCCUCACCAUGCCUUUAUUUAGCCUUUGCCACAUGGGCAGUGGUCAACAUCGGACACGGAGAUGAAAUGCUUUCUUCCCAGAGACGCAUGUUAACACGGAUAUGGUGAUGCUUGUGGCAAAAUUUAAACGCCUCCCCAAGCAGAAAAGACUCGGCAACAACGAAUACUUUAAAAAAUCUUCAUGACUUCACGUGUGUAUUCCAAGUUGCCCAUAGUAACAUAUUUUCACUUGAAUAAUAUUCCAAACCUUAACGUAUAGUCUCACCUAUUCUAAGCCUCAUGAUCUACCUUUUUUAAAAAAGACAAAUCCCUAGAGGUUAAGAGAGUUAUCUAAAAUUAUAUAGCGAGUCAAUGGCAAUGACACAAUGUGGACGUCGGCCCUCUGUUUGCUUUACGAGAUCAUUCACAGCCCCUAAAUAAAUGGCCUCUUGCAUAAGACAUCCAUACAGCAGACGGUGGGGUCCAAAUGGGAAUAAAGACUAGAAGCAAAGAGUCCAAGCAAGUCAAGAACAAAUGUCAUCCAUGAAACACUUACUGGGCACUCGCUACAUGCCAGGUUCAUUGACAAUGGCUUUAAUUGUCACAACUACCCCACGUGAUGCUUAUAUCGUGUGCCGGGCACCCUUCUGAGUUCUUUAUGAUAUGAAGGAUUUUAAUCCUAUGACAACCUCUAAGGGAUUGGAUCUUCAGUCAAUAUCGCGGAAUCCAAGAGCCCACAAGUGUGAGCUCUGGGCUUUAAAAGGAGAAAAAGAAAAAAAUGAACUCAGCUAUUGGGCUACUUGUGUGAUGCUGUUUUUCCACUGGGUUACCCUCUCCUCGCACGGCAGAAUGCGACUGCUUUUGGUCUGGGGUCAAAGUGACUACUCUCACGGUCCUUCGCCAGUCACCUGCAAGGCUCAGCCCUGGCUUUGAGCCGUUUCAUACCUGGAACACAUCAGAGUAGCUUCUAUCUUCCUGAAAGAACUGAGACUGGCCCACGGGACCGACAAGAUGACGGCUGAAGGUCACCAUCGGUUCCAAGAGUGGAAACGUGGCUGAAUUCGGAAGUAUUCCAUAACAUGCCUAGGGAUAAGUCCAACUAAAGCUAUACUCCAGAAGGUACAUGAAUAUCACUUUACUGCCCCGUUGACCACACAGCAGCCUGGGGUUAAUACCAAGUUGCUUUUUUGGAGGUAAUUUUGAAGAACCUCACAUGUCUUAUAUGGCAACUGAGAUGUGUGUGUAUGUGUGUACGUGUGUAUGGGUGUGUAUGUUCAUACAUCCAAGCGUCCCCAGAGAGGACCAGGGUCCUUGAGGGAAGGGAAGUGUCCACUUAUUCUGCAGAGAUGCGUUCGGCCUGCAUUAUACAUGCUCCCUCAGUCUGAGGCCCGUGGCAGGAACCCACACUGCUUGGCAGAGGCUCCAAUGGCUCUUUGAGGACCAAGAGUUCCCCUCAGACCCUCAGCACGUUCCAAAAGACUGAGAAGUGAACAGACGUAUUUAAAAAUUCAUUAACUGCCUAGAAGCUGGUAGGGGUUCCAGUUCUUUCCUUUAUUGGGAAAGCAGCCUUAUACAUGUCAUCUCAACUUUGGGGCUUUAUUUCCUUAUUUGUAAGACAGGAGGACUGAACAAGUAAUCUCGGAGGUGUGAGGUGAGUGCAAAGUGAUGGGUGAAUUCAAAUGUAUACCAAACAUGGAUUCAACAUCUCCCAUCUAUAUGCACUGCUUACAGAUGCUGUGACGAUAUAAAAAAAAAAAAGAAAGAAAGAAAAGAUUUUCGUAAAUGGAAUAAUACAAAACGUAUUCUUUUGUGUCUGGCUACUUUACCUCAGCAUAAUGUUUUUGAGAUUCACCCGCUGUUUCAUGUGUGGGUAGUUUGAUUCCUUUUAUUGUGGUGUAGUAUUCUGUUGAGUGAAUAUGCCACAAUUUGUUUCUCCAUUUACCUGUUUAGGGACAUUUGAGUUGUUUGCAGUUUGGAGUGAUAAUGAAUAAAACUGCUCUGAACCGCAAGUCUACAAGUCUUUUUGUGGACAUAUGUUUUCUUAUCUCUUAGGUAAAUAUCUAGAAGUGGAAUUGCUGGGUCAUAUGGUAAGCAUAUAUUUAACUUUAUAAGAAACUGCCAAACUGUUUUACAAAGUGGCUGUACCAUUUUACAUUCCCACCAGCAACGAAUGAGCAUUCUGGUUGCCAACACGUGGGAUUUUGUACACCAGAUAGUACACACUGUAUGAUUCCACUUACUUGAAGUGCGGCAAUAUGAGAAACUGACCUAUGAUGACACAAGUCAGAGAAUUGGUUUUUGUGGGGGUUGUGGGGGGCAUUUGACUGCAGAGGGGCAUGAGGAGUGCUGGCCUUGGUUGGAGCGGUGGUUCCUCAGGUGGAGAGAUCAGUCAAAACCCCCUGAAAUGUAUU